rnacentral:misc_RNA from 1 species
ACAACUCUGCUUGGAAUCAGGCAAGGAUAAUGCAUUAAACAUUCUAGCACAUGCUAUUUAUGUAUUAAGAACAUUAUGACAAUGACAAAAUGUUCUGUCUGUCGCUUAAUCUCAUAAAUAGAACGUCAUAAUCAUGUACUACUCAUAUGAUUGGCUUACUUAUUUUGAAUACGACAAAUUUAUCUGGACCAACUCCUGUUAUCAUGCACAUUAUACCUUUUAUGCACUUCCAUAUUUGAUUCUACUUCAAAUUUUCUUCUCAUUUCCUUUUUAGCUAAGAAAUUUGUGUAUUUGUAUUGUAACAGAGAUAUUUUGUUAUA